rnacentral:lncRNA from 1 species
CCCAACAUUUUAUUUAAGGUGCUCCAAAGCUUUUUACUAUCAUUCUUUAUAUCAUUUAUCUUUGUUUCAUAGUACAGUUUCUUCUUUUUAUUCAGUUUAGUCACAUUUGCAGUAUGUUGGCGAAUCGGUUGUGCAGCCAAACUUAUUUGCCAUUCCUUUUGCCUCAUCCCUCAAAACCAUAACAUUUUUCAAUUCCUCAUCAAUCCAAGGGGAUUUAACAGUUUUUUCAGUCAUUUUCUUAAUGGGUGCAUGCUUAUUAGUAAUUGGAAUAAGCAAUUUCAUAAAUGUGUCAAGUACAGUGUCUGGGCGCUCCUCAUUACACACUACAGACCAGCAAAUAUUCUUUACAUCAACAACAUACAAAUCACUACAAAACGGAUACACUAUAUUAGGCCCAGCCUUUGGAACUUUGUUUUUCCUAGAUAUGGCUACUAUAUUGUGAUCACUACGUCCAAUGGAUUUGGAUACUGCUUUAAAACAAAUUUCAGCAGCAUUAGUAAAGAUGUGAUCAAUACAUGUUGAUGAUUUCAUUCCUCUACUGUUUGUAACUACCCUGGUAGGUUGACUGAUGGCAGGCACUGUUUACAGUUUGAAGCUUUUUCUUGAGUGGGUAGCUUGAUGAGAGCCAGUCAAUAUUGAAAUUACCCAGAAAAUACACCUCUCUGUUGAUAUCACAUACAUUAUCAAGCAUUUCACACAUAUUAUCCAGAUAUUGACUGUUAGCAGAUGGGGGUCUAUAGCAGCUUCCCACAAGAAGGGGCUUUAGGUGAGGCAGAUUAACCUGUAGCCGUAUUACUUCAACAGUAUUUAACAUGAGAUCCUCUCUAAGCUCUACAGGAAUGUGGUUCUGAAUAUAGACUGCAACACUGCCCCCAUUGGCAUUCCUGUCUUUUCUGUAGAUGUUAUAACCAUGUAUUGCUACCACUGUAUUAUCAAAGGUAUUAUCUAAGUGCAUUCCAGAGUCAAAAUAGUAAUGUCAUCUGUUACUAGCAAGUUACUGAUUUCAUGAACCUUGUUUCUUAAUGUGGGCUAUUUUCAGCACUUUUCUGGGAAGCUUGAAAGUAGACAUGACAAUGUUAUUUAUGUUUGAGUUGACAGGGCAGGGUGAGCUGCACACAGUGGACUUCCUACUAGGGCACACCGCCUCAGUGCUAAGAGUAGAACUUUGGUUCAUAGGCACAUGAUUACAGCAUACAAUAGCUGUAGGAUGAACAGAGGCACUCAGGGCAGUUAGAGGGACAUGAAUUAAGUUACUUAUGACUGACAACACCCCUGGGACAAUGUACAUUUGCAGCAGCACUACGACAACUCAGCGACACAAUGGUAGGGAUUAUCUGAGCUGGACUUGGGUCAUUGAUAAGUCAAUGUUUUUUGAGUCAAGUUCAUACAUUAUAAUGUGUGUGUUUUUCUAUGUAAACAUAAGUUCUAUUGAUUUCAUGAAUGAAGAAAAUGAAUAACAAUAGCCAGGCACAUCACUAUUCCCAUUGAAUAUCUAUUACUGUACAGUAUGUAGGCUAUACAGUGCCUUCAGAGAGUAUUCACACGCCUUGAGAUUGUGUGUCACUGGCCUACACACAAUACCCCAUAAUGUCAAAGUGGAAUUAUGUUUUUAGACAUUUUUACAAAUUCAUUAAAAAUUCAAAGCUGAAAUAUCUUGAGUUAAUAAGUAUUCAACCCUUUGGUCUAAAUAAGUUCAGGAGUAAAAGAGUAAAAAUGUGCUUAACAAGUCACAUAAUAAGAUGCUUGGACUCAAUGUGUGAAAUAGUGUUUAACAUGACUCAUCUCUGUACCCCACACAUUCAAUUAUCUGUAAGGUCCCUCAGUCGAGCAGUGAAUUUCAAACACAGAUUCAACCACAAAGACCAGGGAGGUUUUCCAAAGCCUCAAAGAAAGGCACCUAUUGGUAGAUGGAUAAACAAAAAAGCAGACAUUGAAUAUCCCUUUGAGCAUUUUUUAAAAUAAAAAUAAAUUAACGAAUGCAUUUACCCUAUAUUUAACUAGGCAAGUCAGUUAGGAACAAAUUCUUAUUUACAAAUGACGGCCUACCCCGGACGACGCUGGGCCAAUUGUGCGCCGCCCUAUGGGACUCUCAAUCACAGCUGGAUGUGAUGCAGCCUGGAUUCAAACCAGGGACUGCAGUGACACCUCUUGCACUGAGAUGCAGUGCCUUAGACCGCUGCGCCACUCGGGAGCCCUGGUGAAGUUAUUAAUUACACAUUGGAUGGUGUAUCAAUACACCCAGUCACUACAAAGAUACAAGCGUCCUUCCUAACUCAGUUGUGGAGAGGAAGGAAACCACUCAGAGAUAACCACCAUGAUGCCAAUGGUGACUUUAAAAUAGUUUGUUUAGUUAAACGGCUGUGACAGGAGAAAACUGAGGAUGGAUCAACAACAUUGUAGUUACUCCACAAUACUAACCUAAAUUAGAGUGAGAAGGAAGCCUGUAUAGAAAAAUAAUAUUUCAAAACAUGCUUCCUGUAGGGCGUCCUGAGUGGUGCAGCGGUCUAAGGCACUGCUUUGCAGUGCUAGAGGCGUCAGUACAGAUUCGGGUUCGAUCCCGGGCUGUGCAGCAGCUGGGCCACGACUGGGAGACCCAUGAGGCGGUGCGAAAUUGGCCCAGUGUAGUCCGGGUUAGGGGAGGGUUUGGCCAGCUGGGAUGUCCUUGUCCGCGCUCGAGCGACUCCAUGGGCGCAUGCACUGACUUCGGUCCUCCGACACAUUGGUGCUUCCGGAUUAAGUGAGCAGUGUGUCAAGAAGCAGUGCGGCUUGGAGGGGUCGUGUUUCGGAGGAUGCAGGGCUCUCAACCUUCGCCUCUCCCGAGUCCGUACAGGAGUUGCAGCGAUAGGACAAAACUGUAACUACCAAUUUGAUAUCACAAAAUUGGUGAGAAAUGGGGUAAAAAAAAGUGGCCCACCCCCCCAAAAAAACAAUAAAAAUAAAAACAUUCAUCCUGUUUGCAAUAAGGCACUAAAGUAAAACUGCAAAAAAUAUGGCAAAGAAAUUUUAUUAACUACGUCCUGAAUACAAAGGGUUAUGUUUGGGGCAGAUCCAACAUCACUGAGAACCACUCUUCAUAUUUUCAAGCAUGGUGGUGGCUGCAUCAUGUUAUGGGUAUGCUGGUCGUCGGCAUGGAUUAGGGAGUUUUUUUGGUAAUGAAAAUAAAUGGAAUAGAGCUAAGCACAGUCAAAAUCCUAGACGAAAACCUGGUUCAGUCUGCUUCCUAUUGGGAGACAAAAGCACCUUUCAGCAAGACUUACCCAGAAAGGCUCACGGCUGUAAGCUGACAAAUGUGAUUCUAGGAUGUAUUGAGACAGGGGUGUGAAUAUUUGCGACUUAGAUAUUUCUGAAUUUCAUUUUAAAAAAUGUCUAAAAACAUGUUUCACUUUGUCAUUAUGGGGUAGUGUGUGCAAAUGGAUGAGGAUUUGUUAUUUAAUACAUUUUGAAUUCAGGUUGUAACACAACAAAUGUGGAAUAAGUCAAGGGGUAUGAAUACUUUCUGAAGGCACUGUGUGUAUUUCUCCCUUACCUUGCUCCCCCAUCUUUAGUCCACUCAGCAGAUCAAUGCUCUCUGGUUCAUCUUCUAUUGUCUCCUCUUUGACCAGCAGCAGAUCAGGCUUCCCAUCCUCCAUGUCUACUGACUGUAAGAGAUACAGAGUGAGAGGAUGUUGGUUCAAGAAAUCUGAUAUGAGCACCCUGCUAUGGAUCAUCUUCUGAUUGGACAAUGAGGGACUGCUAUGAGUACUAUGCAAACAUACUCUCCUCACAGCCCUCCUCCUUCACCAGCAGCACCUCUGGACCCUCCUCCUCC